UUUCUUCGGAUCGCAUUGGACCGCCGAAGUCGUUCCGUUCGGUAGAUUUAUUAGACACCACAUUUUUCUUCUUAUUCUGCUGCUGUUGUGUUUAUUGAUAACGCCUGGCUAUCUUAUCAAGACGUCUUCUAUUGACCAAAUCGUCUCCGCUAAGCGCACUCCUUGCCUAUUAUCGUGACUCGUUUGUUGAACCUUCGCUCCGCUUCUUUUGUACACUCCGUUUCCAAUUAUGAGAUCAAAUAACAAAGCUAUUUUUUCCAACUUUUCCUUCCUGACAUGACUGACUCUAUAAAGUCACCGUAGGUAUGUUUCGUGACAUUCUUCACUUUUUCCCGUUUAUUUUCUACUCCACCAGUUCUGCGUCACGCAGUGGGAUUGUAUAUUUUGUUUUUUGGUUUUCUUCUGGCUCACUGUCACUCUCCAUUUACCACAACUUUUUCUCCUUUGUUUUUUUUUCGGGGAAACUAACUAACGCCGACAGCACUACUACUGGCCGCUGUGCACUUCACUUUCGAUAUUAUUUUGCUAAAGUUGAACUGUUUGUACCGAUAGAGACAUCCGCCUUGCGCUGGCACAUCCAUACUCGAUCGAAUCUAGUGUGGGAUUGUCGUUCAGCCGUACUGUCGCUUGCGAGUUUUAAUUGAGGUCUUCUGCCCGUUUUCUGUGUGUUCGUGUUGUUUGCCUGCGAUGUGGAAGAUUACUGUAGUGUGGGUACGUCGGGUAUACUGCUGUUCGUCAGAAUAGAGUGAAAAACGAUAGCAUAGAUUAAAUACAUCGAGGGCGACAUCUGUUGCAAUCCGCAGUAAAAAAAUAUCGGGAGAAAUUCGACUGCAAACCACCACUCGAACGAAAUAAAGAAAGGGUUUGACAUUCGAGUAGCGUCGAACGAAAGAUCCCAGAUUCCUAUAUUUUCGAGCGGUUAUAAGCACAGUGUCGAUCGAGUGACGAAAAAUGCUACAAAAGUGCCGGAAUUUUACCCCGCCUUGCCACCCGCAGACAGCACUGCCCUAAGCUUCUGCUAUAAUCACAAUAAAACUACACGAAUUGAGCGAAUCGCUAUCACAGCAGCCUUUUUUUUCCUCAUUGAACUGUCAAAACACAACACAACAGUUUUUGGAAAGAGAAACGAUUUUUAUUGGCUUGAUCACGCUCCCGAACUGCAGAGUAGACAGAUAGGACAGGUUAAUUUCACAUUGCCUUUUAUUGCUCCAGCUUCAACAGGCAUCAUAGUAAAUACAGGUUAAUCCCGCAUUGCCUUCCACCGCUCCACCGACAGCAGGCAUUCACAUCAAUAUUAUUAUAUACUACACAUACUUUUAACAUGAAUAUAUAUUUAGAUGUACAUUAUAAAACUAAGUGAAUAACCGAUAAGUUGAUGAUUGUAUUUCAAGUUGCAAUUGUAUUUAAGUGUAAAUUGCUUUUUCUAGAAAUAAAAUACAUAUUUUUUAUCAACAGUA